AGAUUUUUGCUGGCUUUGUGAAGAGCCACAGGUGUGCCCUUUGCACUUACCAUACUUUUGAAAGCAUAAUUGUACAAUAAUUACCUGCUUCUCGUAUGAUGCAGAAAUUGCUAGUUCCAUUUGAGAUGCGAGGCUAUCAAGGUGUUUAUAACUUGGAAAAGAAGAUAUAUGAAGCCGCAGUUAGAGGUCUCACACCAGUUAAAGGUCCAAUGCCAGUAAAAUUUCCCCUUCCAAAUCCUCGUGAUCCUUUUUCCUUAAAACCAGGGUCUAUUUCAAUGCUGUUACCUGAAAAAGCAUCUGAAGUGGAGAAAUCAUCAAGUCUCACAGCAGCUAUUGCUGGUGCCCGUGCUGCAGCUACUCAGUUCAACAAGAAAGAUCAAGAUCUCUUAGUAAAUGCUGUCCAGAAUAGCAAUUCUAAUUCCAGAAGGAGCAACCUAGCGAACAGCAAACCUUUGGAAGAACAUAAAAAGCCACAUUUUAACUUGUAUGGAGAACCUUCGGUGUCAAAUGAGGCAGAUCAAAGCAAUUACAUCAAGUGUGAAGAAAGCAGUAGCCAUAGUCGAACUCGUGCGGAUAUGAAACAACUUCCUGGAGCUCCUGCUAAGAUUUUUGCUGCUGCAGUUAGAGGGCUGAAGCCAUCCUGAAUUUAUGUUGUUCCUGUUGAGCAUUAGUUUUACACAGUAAUUCUCCCAUACAAGUGGCCUCCAGAAGUUGAUCGUAUCUUGCAGAGAUUCAAGUCAGCCUGCAAUCAGUUGAAGAUUACUUGUUAGCUGGUUACUUUUUGCUGUAUUUAUUCUUCAGCACCUGUCAAUAGUUUAUAACGUAUUUGGAUUGAUCUAGAUUACGAUAUAUUUACAGAAUUGUUGUUAGAUGCAUGGAUUUUUACAGAGUUGAAAUUGUCAGAAGGAAUGUAUCUGGAUUCAAACUAGACUACAUUGUAUUCAUAGAAUUGUGUUAAUAUAUGGGAACUUCUACUUGUUUGAAUCUGGGAAAUUCUUUCUUGAU
rnacentral:misc_RNA from 1 species